CAAAGGUUUGGUCCCAGCCUUUCCAUUAGUUCCUAACAGACUUACACAUGCAAGCAUCCGCAUCCCGGUGAGAAUGCCCCCAAAGAUCACGAGGAUCAAAAGGAGCGGGCAUCAAGCACACUACAUCAGUAGCUCACAACGCCUUGCUUAGCCACACCCCCACGGGAUACAGCAGUGAUAAAAAUUAAGCUAUAAACGAAAGUUUGACUAAGUCAUGUUAAUUAGGGUUGGUAAACUUCGUGCCAGCCACCGCGGUCAUACGAUUAACCCGAAUUAAUGGACACACGGCGUAAAGAGUGUAAAGAAACUAAAUAAAAUAAAGCCAAAUACUAAUUAAGCCGUAGAAAGCCAUAAUUAAAAUUAAGCUAAACCACGAAAGUGACUUUAUCACAAUCCGAUUACACGACAACUAAGACCCAAACUGGGAUUAGAUACCCCACUAUGCUUAGUCGUAAACCAAAGUAGUCCUGAAACAAGACUAUUCGCCAGAGUACUACCGGCAACAGCCCAAAACUCAAAGGACUUGGCGGUGCUUCAUAUCCUUCUAGAGGAGCCUGUUCUAUAAACGAUAAACCCCGAUCAACCUCACCAACCCUUGCUACUUCAGUCUAUAUACCGCCAUCUUCAGCAAACCCUAAUGAAGGCACAAAAGUAAGCACAAUUAUUAUACAUAAAAACGUUAGGUCAAGGUGUAACUCAUGAGUUGGGAAGUAAUGGGCUACAUUUUCUACAGCAAGAAUACCACUUAUAAACCACACGAAAGUUUUUAUGAAACCUAAAAACCAAAGGAGGAUUUAGCAGUAAAUUAAGACUAGAGCGCUUAAUUGAAUUAGGCCAUGAAGCACGCACACACCGCCCGUCACCCUCCUCAAGUAUCAAGCAAGGCCCUAGAUCACUAACAAAUGCCAAGCAACUCCACAAGAGGAGACAAGUCGUAACAAGGUAAGCAUACUGGAAGGUGUGCUUGGACAAA